UGCAAGGUGCCACAAAAGGUAUUUACAGG
rnacentral:piRNA from 1 species